AUUCAAUACAUUUCUACAUUUUAGUCAUGUAGCAGACACUAUUAUCCAGAGUGACUGACAGUAGCGAUUGCAUAUGCUUACGUAUUUUUAAAAAAUAAAGAAAAAAAUGUAUUCACUGUGGGAACCAACCGUGGCAUUGCAAAGCGCAAAUGCCUCCAACAGUUUGUUGAGUCACAAGCUUGACCCACAGUUCAAACUGUCCAGAUCUGGAAGGACAACAGUAUCAAUUGUCUCCAGGGGUGUUUUGACUGUACAAUGUGGGAGGUAUCUGGUCUCCAGGGGUGUUUUGACUGUACUAUGUGGGAGGUAUUUGGUCUCCAGGGGUGUUUUGACUGUACUAUGUGGGAGGUAUUUGGUCUCCAGGGGUGUUUUGACUGUACUAUGUGGGAGGUAUCAAGAUUUGAAUCAGACAACAUUGUGUCAGAGGUAAAAAACAAACGGAAGCAUCAUUACAAAUGUUUGAGAGGGUUGUUGCUAAACAGGGUGAUGUUUUGAAGUUGUUCCGGGGAUGUAACACAUACAAAAGCCCAGACAAAAUAAGUGGGGUGUGUUAAAUAAGUGUGUGAAAGCGUUUGUGUUGAACAACUGGC
ensembl:lncRNA